rnacentral:rRNA from 1 species
CCUACGGGAGGCAGCAGUGGGGAAUAUUGGACAAUGGGGGGAACCCUGAUCCAGCCAUGCCGCGUGUGUGAAGAAGGCCCUCGGGUUGUAAAGCACUUUCAGUGAGGAAGAACGCCUGGUGGUUAAUACCCAUCAGGAAAGACAUCACUCACAGAAGAAGCACCGGCUAACUCCGUGCCAGCAGCCGCGGUAAUACGGAGGGUGCGAGCGUUGAUCGGAAUUACUGGGCGUAAAGCGCGCGUAGGUGGCUUGAUAAGCCGGUUGUGAAAGCCCCGGGCUCAACCUGGGAACGGCAUCCGGAACUGUCAAGCUAGAGUGCAGGAGAGGAAGGUAGAAUUCCCGGUGUAGCGGUGAAAUGCGUAGAGAUCGGGAGGAAUACCAGUGGCGAAGGCGGCCUUCUGGACUGACACUGACACUGAGGUGCGAAAGCGUGGGUAGCAAACAGGAUUAGAUACCCGGGUAGUC